GACGAACGCUGGCGGCGUGCUUAACACAUGCAAGUCGAACGGAAAGGCCCUGCUUUUGUGGGUUGCUCGAGUGGCGAACGGGUGAGUAACACGUGAGUAACCUGCACUUGACUUUGGGAUAACUUCAGGAAAAUGGGGCUAAUACCGCAUAUGAGCUCCUGAUGCAUGGUGGGGGAUGGAAAGUUUCGGCGGUUGGGGAUGGAAUAGCGGCUUAUCAGCUUGUUGGUGGGGUAGUGGCUUACCAAGCCUUUGACGGGUAGCCGGCCUGAGAGGGUGACCGGGCACAUUGGGACUGAGAUACGGCCCAGACUCCUACGGGACGCAGCAGUGGGGAAUAUUGCACAAUGGGCGGAAGCCUGAUGCAGCAACGCCGCGUGCGGGAUAACGGCCUUCUGGUUGUAAACCGCUUUCGCCUGUGACGAAGCGUUAGUGACGGUAAUGGGUAAAGAAGCACCGGCUAACUACGUG
rnacentral:rRNA from 1 species